rnacentral:lncRNA from 1 species
UUAAUGCAAAACUAUCGUCGUCGAUGACUUUGCAAAUUCAAAACCCUAGAGAUAGAAAAUGGCGCGACAGUACCGUCGUGACGUCGUCCCCCUCUCGUUUUCAAAAUAAACCUUUUCAAAUACGCUCUUUUUCCGUCGUGAUUUCAAAUGGGCUUCUGGGCUGGACCCAAUUAAUCACCCGAUCUGGAAGCCAGGGUGGGUUGGUGUUCGUUACUCCAGAACUAUGCCUCCGAGUCUCCGACAGUUCCCUGUUCUCCCUCUGCUGCCGGAGUUAUCCUAGGUUCUUCGGCAAUCACCGAUGAGUAUGUUCCUAAUCCGAAUUUUGGAACUUUGUUCUUUUUUGUUUUCUCUGUUUUUAUUAUCAUUGAGAACUUAACAUCUGUGUGUUUUUGGGGUUUGAAAACAGAUUAGGGUUUGUUUCAACAGUUCAUAUGAUCUAUCAACAUACCAGAUAUUGCGGGUUCGAUUCAUAAAUUCAUAUCUCUCAGUUUCUUAUCCAUGCAUGCAAUUUUGUUUUUCACUGUACAACUGGAUCGAUAUAUAGAAGAUGAUCCAAUAAAAACAUAGAAAUAUAGAGUGCAGAAAAUCACACACAUUGAAAACAGCAUUUAGUUGAUUUGAAUAUUUUGUUCUUCCCUCAUUCUGCCAAUUAUGGAAAUCGAUGCAGCAUUUUCAUCUGUUGGUUUUCCCUUAAACAGUAAGAUCAUAAGGCUGCCUAUACCAAAAAAGAUGAAGCACCCAUGGUGGUGGGUCACAAACGAUCCAAAAUCUGUCCCAACUAUGCAUUGCCACCCAUAACCAUAUAUCCUGUCAAAUUCCUGCAUUAAAAACUCACUCAUUUCAAUACAAAAGAUUAAAUCCUGCCAAUAUCGAAUUUUCACCAUAUAUCCAUCCAAUAAGAAAUCAAGAAUCUAUAUUUGCAAUGUAUAUAGAACUCAGAUACAUCGAAACAAUGCACAUAAAUGACAUCUUAGAAAGACCAAAUAUAGACUCACACUGUCACACGUGGAAAACAAUCCUGGCUGGUAAGGAUAAAAUACAAACAUGUAUUGAAUGAUUCAGCAACAACAAAACUAACCAGCUAACAACACUCCCAUAUUAUGAGGUGCUCAGACAUAAUGGGAUUACACAAAAAUUCAAAAGUCUGAACACCCUGAUUAGAUUGCAAAAUAGGGGCAUAAAUCUCCAAACAAUAUGCUCUCUAUGUGGCUCUGAGGAAGAAACUAUACAACUCCUCUAGAUAUCUACUUUUAGAAAUUAACAAGCAGCUUUAACAAUGCAAUAUGGGAGAAGAGAGGCCAAACACCCGCUGUCCACAUAGUGGACAUCAGAUUAGGGGAUGUGAUGUAAAAUUGUAAAAUAUAGAAAAAUUUACACACAAAGUCAAUUGUUGGGAUACACGCUGGUUAGCCCUAGGCUCACUAUCCUGACACAUCUGGUGUGAAAGGAAUAGAAGACUUAAACAAGACACACUUAGGGCCCCAGAAUCUGUCAGCAACGAUAUACUGAGGGAUGUGAGUACUGCGUAUGCUGACACAUCCUAUAAAAAAUUCAAUCUAUAUCAGAUUGAAACACAAGGCAUAUUUUUAUGGGAUUCUAACCUCUUGAGGCAUCAAUCCAUGGCUUAAUUGCCAGGAACAUAACUGAAUAAGAGAGUGACAAUGCUACUACACGUUUUUAUAUUUUUCAUUUAUGCAUGUUUUUAAAUUUUCCUGUAUUUAUAAUUCCCCGACCCCACUUUUUCAGAAACAAAAUAUUUAAUUCAUCAAAAAUAAAAUCAAGAAUCAUUUGAUAUUACCUUCUUAAUGAAGUGUGCUAUGUCUGUGUAGUCUGUGACAUCGAAGACAUCAAGAGCCUUUCCAGCAAGCUGGAGUGCUUCUUGUUUCAUGCCAUCCAUCAUAUCAGUCUCCCCAAUAACUGCCUUGCCUUCUAGCAUAGCUUCCGACCAGAGCGAUUGGCGACGAUUAAGUGGAAAAGGAUGAAUAAGCAGAUAAAAAACAGUUCUUCUUUCAAAUCCAAAUGAGGGGAACAUUGUUGAAAUACAAUAAUGAUCUAGCAAAUUAACAUGGGAGAAUAAAAGUUUGGUGGGACACAAAAGUUUUAGAUAAGGCAUCUGUGGACACGGAUCGAUAUUUAGGCGAGAAUAAAAUGACUAGAUAUGGGGACCUUAAGCAAUGUUCUUAAAUGGAACAUACUCAACAAACAGGUGGCUGUGGUCCCUUUAGUUAUUCCUCUUUCUUUGUAAGCUAGCAUGUUUCGUGCCCUGAUGCCCUCACUUUCUGCUGUAGAAUAUAUAAUUAAGUAUGAUUUCACCCUGACCAGUGCAUUCUCUGCAUAGUCUGGUUUUUAUUGAUUGAAUGGCAAUGCCACAUAUUUUUCUUGAUUUUUGAUCAAUUACCUAUAUUUUUUAUAUUUAUGUGUUCUUAAACAGUGUUGUGGUAACUGUGUCUGUUGAUCAUGCUAAAAAUGUGGAUCUGAAUGAAUAUUCUAUCAUCUGGUAACGAAAUAUUAAAUUACAAGAGAAAGCUAGGUGAUUAAGAAAUAAGAAUGUUUCGACUGAUUCUUUUUUAUGUCUCUCACUUAUUAUUUAUUAUUUUAUUUUUUCUAUGCCACACUGGCCUACUACUGGCCAUGCUUUCAAAGCUGAUUCGUUGGGCCUUGGGGGGAUGGGCGACCUUCUUACAUGGAUUAUGCCUUUCUAAUUUCCAUAAUCCUUCUCUGUCAUUCUUUAUUGUUUACAGUUAAAAUACAGUGUAAACUUGAAUAAUUAUUACUUUGGACACAAAAUCAAAGUAAUAUGCGUAGAAUGUGAGCAAUAAAUAGUCUCUGAAAUUCUGCUCAUCCCUUAAUCCAACUGUCACUUUCUGACCGGUUGCUUUCGGCUUCUUCAAAAGCCUCUGCUGCUUUUUUUUUCACUCUACGUUAUGUUUUGGCUGCAAUCCUUGUUGUCUUUUAUUUUAUUUUUUAUUGUAGUUUUUUACCGAUGUAAAACUGUCAACUUUCGGAUGUUAUACCUGAGCCACAUAAUAUAUCAUUUAGCAAAUUUAAGUGGAAAUAUACAAAGUAAGAUUCGAAUCAUGAACCAACCUCACUUUGUAAAGCCUUGUUGUCUUUUAACAUGUCUAGAAAACUUGUUUUUUUUCCACAGAUGGAAAAUUACUUCAGGCAUAUUCUUUCUGAAUGGAUAAAGUUAAUGAAACCAGAGGUUAGUCAAUCCUUUUGUGUAAAGUCUCAUUGAUUAAUAAUCUAAGGAUUUGUUUUCUUCUGGGUCAAAGUUAAAGAAGCGCAGUGCCACAGAGCCAAACCCCAAUGUAUGAAUGUGAUCAUUCCUGCUGUGAAAUUUUGGAACAAACUCACAAUGGCACACACACACUAUUGAAUUUGAAUUAUCCAUAAAGUAGGUUUGAUGUCAUGAUAUUGCAUUAAUUUCCUACCAACAACAAUAACAAAGAAGUGCGUGGCAAACAGACAUUAAAUCUCAUGUGAGUAUGUGACGAGUUGAAUUGGAGUUUUUACUUCAAACAAAGAAAAAUUAAAAAUUUAUUAGAUGCACAUUACCUUCCCAUCAUUGUCAGUGUGUCACAACUCUGUCAUCAUCAGUCCAUCAAAUUUGUCUUCUUCAACCAAACCAGUUUUAAAAACAAGAGCCCUAAAUUAACUGCCACUCAUAUUUUUAUUGUCAAUCAUCCUCCUCUUUAUUUUUACAGGAAAAGAUGUCCAUUGGUCUUUGAGAUUAUGGUUUUUUGGGUGCUUGUCUUACCCAAUCAUCAUCCUCUUUAUUUUUACAGGAAAAGAUGUCCAUUGAUCUUUGAUAUUAUGGUUUUUGGGGUGUUUGUCUUACCCUCUGUUUUUCCUACUGCAUUCUGAAUUUUGGAUCUUACUUGAUCAUUAUUUUCUAUCAUUUUGUUAUAAUUAAGUGUGUUUUUUAAUUACCCAUUCCAUUUGCCUUGAGAUGAAUCCCUUUUUAUACAGUUGUCUCUUGUCUGCAG